GACGAACGCUGGCGGCGUGCUUAACACAUGCAAGUCGAACGGAAAGGCCCUGCUUUUGUGGGGUGCUCGAGUGGCGAACGGGUGAGUAACACGUGAGUAACCUGCCCUUGACUUUGGGAUAACUUCAGGAAACUGGGGCUAAUACCGGAUAGGAGCUCCUGCUGCAUGGUGGGGGUUGGAAAGUUUCGGCGGUUGGGGAUGGACUCGCGGCUAAUCAGCUUGUUGGUGGGGUAGUGGCUUACCAAGGCUUUGACGGGUAGCCGGCCUGAGAGGGUGACCGGCCACAUUGGGACUGAGAUACGGCCCAGACUCGUACGGGAGGCAGAAGUGGGGAAUCUUGCACAAUGAGCGGAAGCCUGAUGCAGCAACGCCGCGUGCGGGAUGACGGCCUUCGGGUUGUAAACCGCUUUCGCCUGUGACGAAGCGUGAGUGACGGUAAUGGGUAAAGAAGCACCGGCUAACUACGUG
rnacentral:rRNA from 1 species